GGCGGUUUGGCCGAGUGGUUAAGGCGAUUGAGUGCGUUCCUCCUCUCACAAUCUAUUAUGCAUCGAACAAUCACUAACUUUCAUCAACAGCUCGAAAUCAAUUCCAUUCGUGGGCGCAUGUUCGAAUCAUGCAGCCGUCG
rnacentral:tRNA from 1 species